GGCUCUGUGGCGCAAUGGAUAGCGCAUUGGACUUCUAGUGACGAAAAAGCGAUUCAAAGGUUGUGGGUUCGAAUCCCACCAGAGUCG
rfam:Otolemur garnettii contig080599, whole genome shotgun sequence.